CCUCUAAUUGAACGCUGGCGGAAUGCUUUACACAUGCAAGUCGAACGGCAGCAUAGGUGCUUGCACCUGAUGGCGAGUGGCGAACGGGUGAGUAAUACAUCGGAACGUGCCCAGUCGUGGGGGAUAACGUAGCGAAAGUUACGCUAAUACCGCAUACGAUCUAUGGAUGAAAGCGGGGGACCGUAAGGCCUCGCGCGAUUGGAGCGGCCGAUGUUAGAUUAGGUAGUUGGUGGGGUAAAGGCUCACCAAGCCGACGAUCUAUAGCUGGUCUGAGAGGAUGAUCAGCCACACUGGGACUGAGACACGGCCCAGACUCCUACGGGAGGCAGCAGUGGGGAAUUUUGGACAAUGGGCGCAAGCCUGAUCCAGCCAUUCCGCGUGCAGGACGAAGGCCUUCGGGUUGUAAACUGCUUUUGUACAGAACGAAAAGCUCUGAGUUAAUACCUCGGGGUCAUGACGGUACUGUAAGAAUAAGCACCGGCUAACUACGUG
rnacentral:rRNA from 1 species